rnacentral:tRNA from 1 species
UAGCUCAGUUGGUAGAGCAUGAGACUCUUAAUCUCAGGGUCAUGGGUUCAAGACCCAU